CCUACGGGCGGCAGCAGUCGAGAAUCAUUCACAAUGGGGGAAACCCUGAUGGUGCGACGCCGCGUGGGGGAAUGAAGGUCUUCGGAUUGUAAACCCCUGUCAUGUGGGAGCAAAUUAAAAAGAUAGUACCACAAGAGGAAGAGACGGCUAACUCUGUGCCAGCAGCCGCGGUAAUACAGAGGUCUCAUGCGUUGUUCGGAAUCACUGGGCGUAAAGUGUGCGUAGGCUGUUUCGUAAGUCGUGUGUGAAAGGCGCGGGCUCAACCCGCGGACGGCACAUGAUACUGCGAGACUAGAGUAAUGGAGGGGGAAGCGGAAUUCUCGGUGUAGCAGUGAAAUGCGUAGAUAUCGAGAGGAACACUCGUGGCGAAGGCGGGUUCCUGGACAUUAACUGACGCUGAGGCACGAAGGCCAGGGGAGCGAAAGGGAUUAGAUACCCCUGUAGUC
rnacentral:rRNA from 1 species